rnacentral:rRNA from 1 species
GAUGAACGCUGACAGAAUGCUUAACACAUGCAAGUCAACCGGGUGGCGGAAGGGUGAGUAACGCGUACAGAACUUGCCUCACAGCUAGGGACAACAUUUAGAAAUGAAUGCUAAUACAUGAUACAGUGGGAGAGCUUUGCGUACCAUUAGCUAGUUGGAGAGGUAACAGCUCACAACGGCGAUGAUGGGUAGCCGGCCUGCGAGGGUGAACGGGCACAAAGGGACUGGGACACGGGCCGUACGCCUACGUGAGGCAGGAGUGGGGAAUAUUGGACGAGGUACCGAUGUCUGAACCAGGAAUUCGGUGUGCACGAUUAAGUUUUUCGGAAUGAAAAGUGCUUUCAGUAGGGAAGCGGUACCAACAGAAGAAGGGACGGCUAAAUACGUGCCAGCAGCCGCGGUAAUUC